GGUUAAGCGACUAAGCGUACACGGUGGAUGCCCUGGCAGUCAGAGGCGAUGAAGGACGUGCUAAUCUGCGAUAAGCGUCGGUAAGGUGAUAUGAACCGUUAUAACCGGCGAUUUCCGAAUGGGGAAACCCAGUGUGAUUCGUCACACUAUCAUUAACUGAAUCCAUAGGUUAAUGAGGCGAACCGGGGGAACUGAAACAUCUAAGUACCCCGAGGAAAAGAAAUCAACCGAGAUUCCCCCAGUAGCGGCGAGCGAACGGGGAGGAGCCCAGAGCCUGAAUCAGUGUGUGUGUUAGUGGAAGCGUCUGGAAAGGCGCGCGAUACAGGGUGACAGCCCCGUACACAAAAAUGCACAUGCUGUGAGCUCGAUGAGUAGGGCGGGACACGUGGUAUCCUGUCUGAAUAUGGGGGGACCAUCCUCCAAGGCUAAAUACUCCUGACUGACCGAUAGUGAACCAGUACCGUGAGGGAAAGGCGAAAAGAACCCCGGCGAGGGGAGUGAAAAAGAACCUGAAACCGUGUACGUACAAGCAGUGGGAGCCUCUUUAUGGGGUGACUGCGUACCUUUUGUAUAAUGGGUCAGCGACUUAUAUUCUGUAGCAAGGUUAACCGAAUAGGGGAGCCGAAGGGAAACCGAGUCUUAACUGGGCGUUAAGUUGCAGGGUAUAGACCCGAAACCCGGUGAUCUAGCCAUGGGCAGGUUGAAGGUUGGGUAACACUAACUGGAGGACCGAACCGACUAAUGUUGAAAAAUUAGCGGAUGACUUGUGGCUGGGGGUGAAAGGCCAAUCAAACCGGGAGAUAGCUGGUUCUCCCCGAAAGCUAUUUAGGUAGCGCCUCGUGAAUUCAUCUCCGGGGGUAGAGCACUGUUUCGGCAAGGGGGUCAUCCCGACUUACCAACCCGAUGCAAACUGCGAAUACCGGAGAAUGUUAUCACGGGAGACACACGGCGGGUGCUAACGUCCGUCGUGAAGAGGGAAACAACCCAGACCGCCAGCUAAGGUCCCAAAGUCAUGGUUAAGUGGGAAACGAUGUGGGAAGGCCCAGACAGCCAGGAUGUUGGCUUAGAAGCAGCCAUCAUUUAAAGAAAGCGUAAUAGCUCACUGGUCGAGUCGGCCUGCGCGGAAGAUGUAACGGGGCUAAACCAUGCACCGAAGCUGCGGCAGCGACACUAUGUGUUGUUGGGUAGGGGAGCGUUCUGUAAGCCUGUGAAGGUGUGCUGUGAGGCAUGCUGGAGGUAUCAGAAGUGCGAAUGCUGACAUAAGUAACGAUAAAGCGGGUGAAAAGCCCGCUCGCCGGAAGACCAAGGGUUCCUGUCCAACGUUAAUCGGGGCAGGGUGAGUCGACCCCUAAGGCGAGGCCGAAAGGCGUAGUCGAUGGGAAACAGGUUAAUAUUCCUGUACUUGGUGUUACUGCGAAGGGGGGACGGAGAAGGCUAUGUUGGCUGGGCGACGGUUGUCCCGGUUUAAGCGUGUAGGCUGGUUUUCCAGGCAAAUCCGGAAAAUCAAGGCUGAGGCGUGAUGACGAGGCACUACGGUGCUGAAGCAACAAAUGCCCUGCUUCCAGGAAAAGCCUCUAAGCAUCAGGUAACAUCAAAUCGUACCCCAAACCGACACAGGUGGUCAGGUAGAGAAUACCAAGGCGCUUGAGAGAACUCGGGUGAAGGAACUAGGCAAAAUGGUGCCGUAACUUCGGGAGAAGGCACGCUGAUAUGUAGGUGAAGUCCCUCGCGGAUGGAGCUGAAAUCAGUCGAAGAUACCAGCUGGCUGCAACUGUUUAUUAAAAACACAGCACUGUGCAAACACGAAAGUGGACGUAUACGGUGUGACGCCUGCCCGGUGCCGGAAGGUUAAUUGAUGGGGUCAGCGCAAGCGAAGCUCUUGAUCGAAGCCCCGGUAAACGGCGGCCGUAACUAUAACGGUCCUAAGGUAGCGAAAUUCCUUGUCGGGUAAGUUCCGACCUGCACGAAUGGCGUAAUGAUGGCCAGGCUGUCUCCACCCGAGACUCAGUGAAAUUGAACUCGCUGUGAAGAUGCAGUGUACCCGCGGCAAGACGGAAAGACCCCGUGAACCUUUACUAUAGCUUGACACUGAACAUUGAGCCUUGAUGUGUAGGAUAGGUGGGAGGCUUUGAAGUGUGGACGCCAGUCUGCAUGGAGCCGACCUUGAAAUACCACCCUUUAAUGUUUGAUGUUCUAACGUUGACCCGUAAUCCGGGUUGCGGACAGUGUCUGGUGGGUAGUUUGACUGGGGCGGUCUCCUCCUAAAGAGUAACGGAGGAGCACGAAGGUUGGCUAAUCCUGGUCGGACAUCAGGAGGUUAGUGCAAUGGCAUAAGCCAGCUUGACUGCGAGCGUGACGGCGCGAGCAGGUGCGAAAGCAGGUCAUAGUGAUCCGGUGGUUCUGAAUGGAAGGGCCAUCGCUCAACGGAUAAAAGGUACUCCGGGGAUAACAGGCUGAUACCGCCCAAGAGUUCAUAUCGACGGCGGUGUUUGGCACCUCGAUGUCGGCUCAUCACAUCCUGGGGCUGAAGUAGGUCCCAAGGGUAUGGCUGUUCGCCAUUUAAAGUGGUACGCGAGCUGGGUUUAGAACGUCGUGAGACAGUUCGGUCCCUAUCUGCCGUGGGCGCUGGAGAACUGAGGGGGGCUGCUCCUAGUACGAGAGGACCGGAGUGGACGCAUCACUGGUGUUCGGGUUGUCAUGCCAAUGGCACUGCCCGGUAGCUAAAUGCGGAAGAGAUAAGUGCUGAAAGCAUCUAAGCACGAAACUUGCCCCGAGAUGAGUUCUCCCUGACCCUUUAAGGGUCCUGAAGGAACGUUGAAGACGACGACGUUGAUAGGCUGGGUGUGUAAGCGCAGCGAUGCGUUGAGCUAACCGGUACUAAUGAACCGUGAGGCUUAACCUU
rnacentral:rRNA from 1 species